rnacentral:misc_RNA from 1 species
GAUGAAGAACGUAGUGAAAUGCGAUAAGUAAUGUGAAUUGCAGAAUUCAGUGAAUCAUCGAAUCUUUGAACGCACAUUGCGCCCCUCGGUAUUCCGAGGGGCAUGCCUGUUCGAGCGUCAUUAUAACCCUUCAAGCUCAGCUUGGUGUUGGGGCCUGCUGUAACUGGUAGCCCUUAAAAUCAGUGGCAGUGCUAUUAGGCUCUAAGCGUAGUAAUUCUUCUCGCUAUAGUGUGUAGUGAGCGCUUGCCAGAACCCCAAACUUUUAUAUGAUUGACCUCGGAUCAGGUAGGGAUACCCGCUGAACUUAAGCAUAUCAAUAAGCGGAGGA